AGUUGCAAGGUAUAGACCCGAAACCCGGUGAUCUAGCCAUGGGCAGGUUGAAGGUUGGGUAACACUAACUGGAGGACCGAACCGACUAAUGUUGAAAAAUUAGCGGAUGACUUGUGGCUGGGGGUGAAAGGCCAAUCAAACCGGGAGAUAGCUGGUUCUCCCCGAAAUCUAUUUAGGUAGAGCCUUGAGGUGACACCUUUGGGGGUAGAGCACUGUUUCGGCUAGGGGUCCAUCCCGGAUUACCAACCCGAUGCAAACUACGAAUACCAAAGAGUGAUACUCAGGAGACACACGGCGGGUGCUAACGUCCGUCGUGGAGAGGGAAACAACCCAGACCGCCAGCUAAGGUCCCCAAGUCUAUAUUAAGUGGGAAACGAAGUGGGAAGGCUUAGACAGCUAGGAUGUUGGCUUAGAAGCAGCCAUCAUUUAAAGAAAGCGUAAUAGCUCACUAGUCGAGUCGGCCUGCGCGGAAGAUGUAACGGGGCUGAAAUAUAGCACCGAAGCUGCGGCAUCAGGCGUAUCACUAAUACGCCUUACGAUUAACAACAUGGAAUGGCGCGAAGCGUCAUGAAAGGUUGUUCAAGCAACCCGAACGUUGAGUCGGCACAUUUUUGAAGUAAGGAUGAUUAGUGAUACGCCUGUUGGGUAGGGGAGCGUUGUGUAAGCGGAAGAAGGUUCAUCGAGAGGUGGGCUGGACGUAUCACAAGUGCGAAUGCUGACAUAAGUAACGAUAAAACGGGUGAAAAACCCGUUCGCCGGAAGACCAAGGGUUCCUGUCCAACGUUAAUCGGGGCAGGGUGAGUCGGCUCCUAAGGCGAGGCUGAAAAGCGUAGUCGAUGGGAAACAGGUUAAUAUUCCUGUACUUGGUAAAGCUGCGAUGUGGGGACGGAGUAGGUUAGGUUAUCGCACUGUUGGAUAUGUGCGUUUAAGUUGGUAGGUGGGAAGUUUAGGCAAAUCCGGACUUCCUUAACACAGAGAGAUGAUGACGAGGCUCUACGGAGCUGAAGUAACUGAUACCACACUUCCAGGAAAAGCCACUAAGCGAAAGGCUUUACUAAACCGUACUGAAAACCGACACAGGUGGUCAGGUAGAGAAUACUCAGGCGCUUGAGAGAACUCGGGUGAAGGAACUAGGCAAAAUAGCACCGUAACUUCGGGAGAAGGUGCGCUUACAGUAAUUGUAGUCCCUUACGGAUGAAGGUGAAGUAAGUCGAAGAUACCAGCUGGCUGCAACUGUUUAUUAAAAACACAGCACUCUGCAAACACGAAAGUGGACGUAUAGGGUGUGAUGCCUGCCCGGUGCUGGAAGGUUAAUUGAUGGUGUCAUCGCAAGAGAAGCACCUGAUCGAAGCCCCAGUAAACGGCGGCCGUAACUAUAACGGUCCUAAGGUAGCGAAAUUCCUUGUCGGGUAAGUUCCGACCUGCACGAAUGGCAUAAUGAUGGCCAGGCUGUCUCCACCCGAGACUCAGUGAAAUUGAAAUCGCCGUGAAGAUGCGGUGUACCCGCGGCUAGACGGAAAGACCCCGUGAACCUUUACUAUAGCUUGACACUGAACAUUGAAUUUUGAUGUGUAGGAUAGGUGGGAGACUUAGAAGCAGUCACGCCAGUGAUUGUGGAGUCAUCCUUGAAAUACCACCCUUUAACGUUUGAUGUUCUAACGAAGAUGACGAAACGUGGUCUCGGACAGUGUCUGGUGGGUAGUUUGACUGGGGCGGUCUCCUCCCAAAGCGUAACGGAGGAGCACGAAGGUUUGCUAAUCACGGUCGGACAUCGUGAGGUUAGUGCAAUGGUAUAAGCAAGCUUAACUGCGAGACAGACAAGUCGAGCAGGUACGAAAGUAGGUCAUAGUGAUCCGGUGGUUCUGAAUGGAAGGGCCAUCGCUCAACGGAUAAAAGGUACUCCGGGGAUAACAGGCUGAUACCGCCCAAGAGUUCAUAUCGACGGCGGUGUUUGGCACCUCGAUGUCGGCUCAUCACAUCCUGGGGCUGAAGUAGGUCCCAAGGGUAUGGCUGUUCGCCAUUUAAAGUGGUACGCGAGCUGGGUUUAGAACGUCGUGAGACAGUUCGGUCCCUAUCUGCCGUGGGCGUAGGAUGAUUGAUUGGGGCUGCUCCUAGUACGAGAGGACCGGAGUGGACGCAUCACUGGUGUUCCAGUUGUCUCGCCAGAGGCAUUGCUGGGUAGCUAAAUGCGGAAGAGAUAAGUGCUGAAAGCAUCUAAGCACGAAACUUGCCAAGAGAUGAGUCAUCCCUGACUUUAAGUCAGUAAGGGUUGUUGUAGACUACGACGUAGAUAGGUCAGGUGUGUAAGUGUAGUGAUACAUUGAGCUAACAGAUACUAAUUGCCCGAGAGGCUUAACUAUACAACGCUCAAG
rnacentral:rRNA from 1 species